UUAACUGAGUGACCCAGGUGCUCAUCUAGUAAUUUCUUCAUUGGCUCCACCUGUCUCAGAUAAGAAGCCUAUUCUAAUCUCCUCCCAGAAUGCUACAGGCCAGCUCACUCUUGAUUAUUUUGCCUGAUAGGAGAGAGAAAUGGAGUGGUUAGUCCAACCUUCUUAGCCCACCCAGGGAACCAACUGGAAGGGAGAAGGGGCAUAGAAGUAACAAAUAAAAUGCAUUCUUUUUAAUUACCCCAAGUCUAAUGAAUACAAUAUGAAUGAAAUGGAAAGGUAUAAGAGAAAUGCGUCAAGCUAUUUCUGAUAAAAAGAAAGGAAAGUGAAGUAGGGCUUUUGGGCUGAGCAUCAGGGUGAUAAUUCUUGCUUUAAAUCUCCCACCUGAGGCAGUAUAUUUCAGCCAGAUACACAACUAGCUACAUACUCAUACCCUAGAAAAAACAUACAUUCACAAGAAGUUUUCUGAAGCAAUAUAUAUUUAUGUAAUAUAUUUCUCUAUUUCAUUAAGAAAAAAAAAAAAAGCUUGUCACUGUUUCACUAAAAUAAUUUUGUAACCCUUAGUUACAGUUUGAAAACCACUGCCUAAAGUCUAAGACGGGGGUUGGGACUCCUCUCUCUGGUAUUCUUGGUCUCAUCAUUUCCUUCACUGGGAGCCAGUUUGAUCCUUCACAGAGUAUGGUUUCUCAGCUUGAAUCCAGGAUACCUAGGCUCCUUAUAAGAGAUGAUAUUUAGCUAGGGAUUAUUUGAAUCCAGCCAAUACUGAGUAUCUGCUAGAUGGAAGGCUCCUCUUCACAGCCUGCCAAACCCACCAUAGCUAGGGUGGAGGCAGCUGGAGAGCCAGCCAUUGUCCGAGGUAAUGAGCGAAUGCUGAUGCUUCAUAAUUGUGCACAUGCUCAGCCUGCCCACUAAUUCCCUGUUGUGUUUGCCAUACCCUCCAGCCACAGGAAGAAAUACAAGCCUCUCAUUGGGUGCUGUGUGUGCAAAGAAAGUACCAGGCCCGUUCUCCAGAAAUUUAAUUCAACUAAGAGAGCUCUGGAACAUCAUUGUGACCUGGAGAGGUGAAGGAAGGCUUCCUGAGGGGUAUGGGAGCUUAGUUGGACUCAAAAACACCCUGCGGAGAGAAAGACACCCCCAACCCCACCCCACACUCCACUUGAAGCGCUCCCAGACAGUUUGGUUUCAUCUCAGGGGUUUGAAGUAGAGGUGAGAGGGCAUCAUCAGGUGUGGUCAGAAGAAUGCCACUAGGUAGGAAUUCUUUUUUUUUUUUUUUUAAGAUUUUAUUUAUUUAUUCAUGAGAGACAGAGAGAGGCAGAGACACAAGCAGAGGGAGAAACAGGCUACAUGCAGGGAGCCCAACGCAGGACUCAGUCCUGGGUCUCCAGGAUCACGCCCUGGGCUGAAGGCAGGCACUAAAUGGCUGAGUCACCCAGGGAUUCCAGGAAUUCUUAGCUUCUUGAGUGGCACUUAAAGGGGCUAAACUGUGGUGGCAUGUGCUGGCCUACGUCAUAGGUAGGAAAGGAGAAUACACAGUUGGUGGACAAGGAAAUAUGCAUGAGAAUAAAACAAGCAGAGAGGAUGUGGGUCAGAGAGAGAAUGGAGGAGGAGAAGCCAAAGGAGGGGAAGUGCUGUCCUCAGGAAGGAUGAGUCAGAACCUACCAGGCCCUUCUGUUAAUACAUUUUGACAAUAAGAAGGCAGACUACCUGCCCUUUUCCAGAAUAGAAAGGUACGUCUUGUAAAAGGACUUGAGGAAUUUGUGUUCUGUAGACCAAAGAUGAUGACGGUGCAUUGCAGAAAUGCUCCCUCUUGAGGCUGCAUUUCCUCAGGCAUGUGUGUACGUACAUACUUUGGAAGAGUCAGUUUAAGAGGAAUGUGUUUCAAAAUGCUUAUGAAAAGAAUUCCAAAAUCCUCUUUAGAGAGCCUUAUGGAAAUUCUGAACUACCUCACAAGCAUUUCUUAAUGUAGUGUGUGCUGUGAGAACAUCUGUUAAGUGGCUGCAGAAGUGUGCUCAGUCCCCUAAGGGUCUGAUAA
rnacentral:lncRNA from 1 species